GGGCAUGUGGUGUAGUUGGUUAUCACGCUCGCUUAGCAUCGCAGUCUGCGAGAGGGGUCCGGUUCGAUCCCGGACAUGUCCA